GACGAACGCUGGCGGCGUGCUUAACACAUGCAAGUCGAACGGAAAGGCCCUGCUUGCAGGGUACUCGAGUGGCGAACGGGUGAGUAACACGUGGGUGAUCUGCCCUGCACUUCGGGAUAAGCUUGGGAAACUGGGUCUAAUACCGGAUGGGAGCCAUCUUUAGUGUGGUGGUUGGAAAGUUUUUUCGGUGUAGGAUGAGCUCGCGGCCUAUCAGCUUGUUGGUGGGGUAAUGGCCUACCAAGGCGGCGACGGGUAGCCGGCCUGAGAGGGUGUACGGCCACAUUGGGACUGAGAUACGGCCCAGACUCCUACGGGAGGCAGCAGUGGGGAAUAUUGCACAAUGGGCGCAAGCCUGAUGCAGCGACGCCGCGUGGGGGAUGAAGGCCUUCGGGUUGUAAACUCCUUUCGCUAGGGACGAAGCUUUGUUGUGACGGUACCUAGAUAAGAAGCACCGGCUAACUACGUG
rnacentral:rRNA from 1 species